GCGUUUGAGAAGCCCGCAAAAACAAAAACAGAAAAUGAAGCCUAAAUGAAUGCAGAAAUAGAAUCGUCAUUUCCCAGUCAAAUCAAACAGCCUGGCCUCCAUUAUUUUCCAACUUUUUAUUUCAUAAACGCCAGGCUUUUCAGAUGAUAGCAGUUUCCAAGAAAUCUUCUGCUUUAGCUAUCUUUUUCUGUUUCAUUUCCUCUUCAUCAACUUCCUUCAAUCAGAAUUUCGUGGCCAUCUCCCUCCUAGAUCCGGUUCUUCUCUCGUCUCUCCCACCAGGUAUCUUUCUUCCCCUUUUCUUAAUGCCUCUUUCGCUAGGUAUGCGCUUCAACGUUCUCCGUUCUUUGGAUGAAUCGAAAAACAUUUUUUUGGAAUCGGGUUUUGUUGCUCUGAAUAUCAUCAAUAAUCGCUCCUAGAAUCGAUUUAUCUCUAGCUUUUGUUUUGCACUUGUUGAUUAUUGUUUUCGAAUCCCCCAUCAUCGUGACUGAGUUUAAGCCCAUACUUAUGCCUAAUUUGGUUGCCUCUAAACAUGCUAAUGCUUCUGCUACAAACGGAGAGGAAAUGUUGGAGUGAAGAGUAGACUUUGAGACUGUGAUUUCCCCAUUCUGACCUCGGACUACCAUUCCUGACGCUGAUCUGGAGUUGUUGAUAUCAAAAGCUGCAUCAAACUGUAUAGACUCCCGUAGCUCCACCUCUCUUUGUUCGGAUCUAACGGGCGUAGAGAUAACCCAUAAGGCACAACAAAAUACUCAGAUCUACUCCUUUGUACCUCUGCUGAAUACCCAGGACAUUGCCUAAACACAUGGAAGCUAUCUUCUUCUGUAGAACAGCAUCGUGGACACCUUACAUUAGUGGUCACUCUCUUAUAUCUGAGAUUAACUAGUGAAGAGAUGUAGUUCCAGGAAAUUCGCCAUAUGAGAAUUAGGAUUUUUGUUAGUAAUUUUAAAUUCCAUAAUUUUCUGUAGAAAUCUUUAGUUUCUGCCUAUAUUAAAUAGUUACUAGGAUCCAAGCUAGCUUCUUGUAAUAGUUUGUGGGCACUUCUAACUGUAAAUUCUCCGGAGAGUUCCCCUUUCCACACUUUCAUGUCUUCACAAUCCGUUCUCGCAAGAGGAAUCUGCAGUAUUGUUUGAGCGAUUUCCUUUUGAAAGGUUCCAUCCCUAGUAUCCAACGGUCAUCCCAUAUAGAUAUUGCGUCUCCUCUCUCGACUCUCCAGAUGAGACCAUUAAGAAGGAGUCCUUUCACUGCCCAAAUACUUCUCCAGGUAAGAGAUGAUCACAGAGUCGUACUCCCUUAACCGGAUGCCAUAGAUUCACCAUUGUACUUUUCAUUGCUGGGAAGCGGAUCGUGCUUGCUGUGAGAAAACAUCCUACUAGUAAAAGUUUUUUCAGCUUUUGUGGUUUCACAAUUCCUGUUGCAAGAAAAGGACUUACACAGGCCACAGAUAACGAAGGGGAAAGUAAUAAGGAAAAAACAAAUAAUGAAAAAACCUAAAAACUCUUGCUAGUGGCAGUAGACAAAGAUAUUUAGAAGUCACAAAAGAAGUUUUCAUCCUUAGAAGUCACAAAAGAAGUUUUCAUCCUUUCUCCUUUCUCCAAGGUUGGAAAAACUUGCUUCCGAUCCUCCUCAGCCCGACUCUCGCACCCAUUCAACUUCCAUUGUUCUCCUCGCAUAACUCGGGACAACAUCUUCCAAGUAAAAGCUCUCACCAGAUCUCAAACUCUCAUUUGCUAAAAGAUGGGCUAACUAAGUUUCAAAAUGAUUUGUAUGUUUAAGCCUAAUAAAAGUAAAAUUGUUCAGCUUCUGUUUGAUGUUUCGGAUGUAGGUGUUUAUUUCAGAUCUAUCAUGUAUAUUGUUGUUACAUUUCUUGAUGAUUGUAAAUGAGUCUCCCUUUAUAACUGCUUCUGUUAACCCUAUUUCUAAACUCGUUUGUAUUGCCCAUGAACACGCGAGCGCCUCGGCUGCAAAAAUUGUUCCAACAUCGACAUGUAGGAUCGAUCGAGAUACUAAAACUUUGCCCAGAGCAUUCUUAACUAUAAUUCCCGAUCCCGAUCUAGAAUGAACCUAAUCAAAGGCCGCGUCAAAAUUUAUUUUAAUUCUCGCUUUUACAGGCGAUUCCCAUUUUCUUUCCGCACAUCAUCUGGCUCCAUAGUGCAACACAAAAUUCCUAGACAUUUUGGUAACCGAACAUUCUUUAACGACCCAGGGCAACCACGAAAGA